ACAGGUGUUAAUUUUCCUAAUAAUCCAGACCUAAAUUUUGCAAGACAUACUUUGACAGCACUAGCAGCACAAAGAAGAACUGUUACUCUGGUAGCUUUAAAACGAAUGAUGAACCGGAUAAUAGUUGCAAAUUUAUAUACUGUACAUUGGGGGUGUCGUUUCAUUGCGGUGUUCACCAGUGCAAGAUACCCUGUAUAUUUCUCACAAACUGUUGAUGACGACGAUGAUUUGUGUACCAUAUCUAGUAGGUAUGGAACCUUGCGAUAUAGAAAACUUAGGAACGGAUGGAAUGUAGUCGUCGGCAAUAACAUUAACGUUUUUGCACGACUCCAACCAGUACCAAUGUAACUCUUUUACAAUGAAAAUGUACUUUUAUUGUUUUAUUUAAAUAAUAUUUGCAUUUUACGCUUAUAUACCUUAUACCACUUAUAUCAC